rnacentral:lncRNA from 1 species
ACCGUUGGAUACAUGUGUUUUCUAACAUGGCUUCCUGAUCAGAGCGAGGGAAAGGCGCUACUACCCAGUUCUUUUUGCAUUCUUUCAGCCCCUGUUAAGAUAAGAGGAUUGUAGCGAGCGUAGCCCUCUUAAUAAGCGUUAGUGAGCGCAACGUUUCACUCCCUUUUUAAGGGCUAGGUCCUCAGAUCCGUAGAUUCUAGAGGUGUUUACUCUUACUAUUUAUGGAAAUCCCGCUAUUAGUUAUUAGUUGGUAUCCCCCGAAGCAGGUAUUUGGCAGGUGAGGGCAACCAGGCAACCCUCAGUUACUAGCUAUGGAUAGGAAUAGGAUCCAGGUACAAAGAUGAUGGAGGUCCUUCUUCCACCUCUGGAUCCAGACAAGUCGCAAGCCUUUGACACUGAUAUAGGGCGAGCGACCGCAACAAGGAAAGAGAUAGAUAUAUAAUUCACGCUUGUACUUCGUUAUUUCCUACGGAUUUCUCGUCUCGUUACUUCUCUCUGAUCGUGAUUUCCCACGUGCCGUACCAUACCGCUCAGGAAAACAAAGAAGAACUAGGCUAGGCGACUAGUCGAUUCUCAUGCUUGAUUUGAAGGCAGGAAGAAGUAAGAUCUGAAGUCAACAAGGGAAUCGCUUGAGAACUAACUGCAUACCUGAAGUUAGCUUGUGUGCGCAUAGCGUUAUCUUAUCUUUUAAUACUUCCUUUAGGAGGCUAGAAAGUGUUCUGAGGGCAGCUAACCCUACUUCUCAUGUCCCCACUCAUUGAUUAGCCGAUACGAGAGAUGGAGUUAAGCUACAUCAGCUAUAGAAUCGAACAAUGGACCGGAAAGCAAUCAAGAUCGGAAAGAAGAGCUGGCAACUGCCAUCCCUAUAUCUUCCAUUCAAUUCCGUCUCCUGAGCUUUCGAGCUUUAUCUCCCAACCAGGCUCUCUUAUAUAGGUAUUACGUCCCUGUAUCCUUCACUGGGAAUCUGUUACUGGCUUCUAUCGCCUGUCUGCUGUCCGGUUAUAUCGGCAACAUUGUAAGUGAAAACAAAUGAUAGUGUAUUGCCCCAGACAUUGAACUUCCCAUCUAAGUCCCUGUCUUUUUCCCUGGGCUCGAUCCCUAAAACUGGUAGCUGUCUCCUUCUCCCUCUAUCCCAAUCUGCCUUCCUCUCAAUGGAUCUCUGCCGCCCCCUCGACCUAUAAAUCUAUAUAUGCUAUCUGUAUCUUUCUCAGCUGGAAGUCUUUAACCGUAACCAGCCCCUCAAUUCAAGCUGUCAAUCCCAGCAAUCAAGCAAUCGAAUAAAGCCGGCCUUACUCAACAAGCACUUAACUCUCUCCUUCGAAAGGCAAUCCCAGCAGCAAUAAGUGAAUCCAUCUAUUAAACCCCCAACACUAAUGGAUGCUUAAGAAAGCGGAACCAAGCCAGCUAUUGGUCAAUAUAGAGAUUUAUUCUAAGCCAGCAAUCCAGUCUAAGCGAGUGAGUCAUAUAAGUCUUACCAAUCGAAUCAAAGCAAUUGAGCCUAUCGGAGCCGGCACUUUGGAGAUAAAGCCUUUCGAUCCCCUUCCUCAAUCUCUCGUUCAAUCGGAGCUUCUUGUGGCAACCUCUCUUCCUGCCUUUAGAAUGCAUAUAAAGAGCGAGCUCAUAUUUGAAACCCCCCAAGGGGGACUUGGAAGAGGGAAGCCCUUAGACCAUUCCUUUGGAAUCGAGGGGAGGGGAAGCAGAAUGCCUUAUUAAAGUCAGAGUUAGAGAAGGAAGGCAAUGAAUGCUAAUCCUACUACUCAAGAGGAACAACAAUAGGAAAUGAGCAGCCUGUCUUAUGAGCUUUCAGGAGGACUACUAGAGAAUCUGAACCUUAGAGCUACCUUCUUACACUUCCAGUUAGGCUUAGGCAAGGAAGGGGAAAUACAUAGAUGAACAUGACCAACUGGUGAAUGUCCUUGGCCUGUAGUGCAAGGAUGAAUAUAUGAUUCCAGAUAUAUUAUUGAUUGAUGUUACAGGGAUUAAAAAAAAUAGACGAUGAACUUUAAAAUUCAUAGAUAGAAGAUAGUAGUUUGCAUUCCCUACUUAACUCUUCUAAUGAAUUAUUAUUUCAGCUGCGAAUAUUGAUUUAAAACUUGUUGUCUAUUGUAUUCUAUUAUAUUUUUCCCUGUUGAAGACUAACGAUAAUUUUGUUGUAUAUUAUCUUAGUCAUAAUAUUCUUUACUGGGCUAGUCGAGCUCACCCUUUUCCUUUUUGUUCCAUUUUUCUUCUCAGGAGGCGAGAAUAUAGCGAGUACGUGUCGGGGUAUGGAAUGAAGGUUCUAGGGAGAGUUGUUUAGUAGUCCUCACCAUUGUUGUAAAAUACUGUAUCAAUAAUUAUGAUGAGGAUUUAUUUGUAUGUGGAUAUUGUCUAGAUGGAAAUAUCUGUAUUUAAACUCACAAUUUUACUAUUGUAAUAAUAAAGUUGUAGUUGUUUCUGUACCGUGUAUUGACAACUCAGAAUGGGUGAUGUAUACCUGUUUUGGGGUGUCACAACUGUGCUGGGAUGAAGUCGGUCAACACCAACUGUUAGGACCAGAACUGGUACAACAAACUGCUGAAGUUGUCAAAGUCAUCAGGAAAAGAAGAGCGAGCUCAUAUUCGAAACCCCCCGAGGGGGACUUGGAAGAGGGAAGCCCUUAGACCAUUCCUUUGGAAUCGAGGGCAGGGGAAGCAGAAUGCCUUAUUAAAGUCAGAGUUAGAGAAGGAAGGCAAUGAAUGCUAGUCCUACUACUCAAGAGGAACAGCAAUAGGAAAGGAGAAGCCUGCCUUAUGAGCUUUCAGGAGGACUACUAGAGAAUCUGAACCUUAGAGCUACCUUCUUACACCUCCAGUUAGGCUUAGGCAAGGAAGGGGAAAUACAUUCAAUUAGCUAGGUGGGAACGUCCAGGGGGACCUGCCGGGCUAAGAGCAGAGAGGAACUAACCUUCCGCUUUCACUGGCCUUAUUCCA